rnacentral:rRNA from 1 species
AUUGAACGCUGGCGGCAUGCCUUACACAUGCAAGUCGAACGGCAGCACGGGAGCAAUCCUGGUGGCGAGUGGCGAACGGGUGAGUAAUAUAUCGGAACGUGCCCAGUCGUGGGGGAUAACGCAGCGAAAGCUGUGCUAAUACCGCAUACGAUCUAUGGAUGAAAGCGGGGGAUCGCAAGACCUCGCGCGAUUGGAGCGGCCGAUAUCAGAUUAGCUAGUUGGUGGGGUAAAGGCCCACCAAGGCGACGAUCUGUAGCUGGUCUGAGAGGACGACCAGCCACACUGGAACUGAGACACGGUCCAGACUCCUACGGGAGGCAGCAGUGGGGAAUUUUGGACAAUGGGCGCAAGCCUGAUUCAGCAAUGCCGCGUGCAGGAUGAAGGCCUUCGGGUUGUAAACUGCUUUUGUACGGAACGAAACGGUCCUUUCUAAUACAGGGGGCUAAUGACGGUACCGUAAGAAUAAGCACCGGCUAACUACGUGCCAGCCGCCGCAGUAAAAC